UGUGGCCCUCUGCUGGACUCUUUCCAGGAGAUCCUUGUCUUUUUUUGUACCGGGGAUCCCAGAACUGGACACAGUACUCCAGGUGAAACCUGACCA
rnacentral:miRNA from 7 species